rnacentral:lncRNA from 1 species
ACUGAUGUGCAGUAUACAUCUUACCAACUACACACGAAAACAUAAGUUCGACAUUUAAUAUCAUCCCUCUCGGCACUCUGUAAUAGAGACCUAUAAAAGAAAUCCCGGGAACACAAAGUAGAUAAAUUACAAGCAUCAACAUAGACAUACGGUGAUGCGUAAGUUUAAUUAUCACAAACCAAAUGAAGUACCAUUUCUAUCAAAACUCUGGAAUGCACAAUUAACACACUAAUUAUUACUGUACAGGGACAAAAUAAGCUCAGCUUGGGCACAAAAACUUGACUAGAAAUCGCAAGAUAUUAAAAUAAUCCAUUUUCUAGUCCACACAGUAUUACAAAGGAGAUCAAUAAAACUAUACCACCUAUGGGUCAAGUAAAUAUAUUUCUUUGAGCAUUCUAGUCAUCCCUCUCAUCCACUAGCGGAGCUACCUCUUGGCGAAAUAGGCUAUGGCCCGCCCAUGUUGUAGCAAGUUUAAUGGAGGUUGAUGGGUAAAUUAGACCAAGCUGAUAAAAAUAGUUGGCUUUCUUUGUACUAGCCCGCCCAGGUUUGGGGCUGUAGCUCCGCUACUGCUCUCAUCGCAACAAGGACCUGCAGAAAGUAGAAACAUUGUUCAGAAAUUGGUUGGGUACCCAUACUUUUGUACUGAGGUAAACCUUUUCAUCGAACUGUUGCCAAAUUUUCAAAGAACUUGAACUUCAGAUUUAGAAGAAAUUCAGACCUCACCUGAGUGAGUACUGAAGAUGCAAAGAAUAGGCUUUUUAGGGACUUUGACUUUGGCAACUUGUUUUUGCUGCAACCUGCAAAAAAUAGGAACAAGAUAAGAUUUUUUUCAAGGGGAAGUUAACAGGGUUUGGCGUUCGAAUGAUCUAGGGGGUUCUGUCCAAACUUUUUCAGAGUUUUUAUGUAAAUAUGCAUCGAUCAGCAAAUAGCAUCAUUUUAAGCAACAAAAUUUUGAUAGCAAUCAACUUUCUAAAAACAACAAACACAGUAGUGCAGCAGCAUGCACAUUCAUCUUCCUGAAUUUAUUCUCACUUUCUGUAAAUGCCAAACCAGAAUACAUAGCAGUAGCAACCCCACAUACACAUUCAUCUCUCAAAUCUCUCUCAAACUCGCUCACUUCCUGUAAUGCAAUAGGAUUGAGGGUCGGGAGCAGAGGUAUCUGGAAAGAACAAUUAAUUGGCUGAUGGAUUCGAAGUUGAGAUCAAACAAAACAAGUUAAGAUUAAAGAACAAUUGAUUGUUCCCCAGAUUGAAUGGAAGGAAACGAACAAAAUGAAUCAAUUUGAUUACUGAUUGCGCUGCGGCAGCUACCUUUGUCGAGCUUGAGCAGUUCGUUGAGGGGCACCUUGGGCGGCAUGCUUGGCCUCCUCGUUCUCCUCCACGUCAAGGUUGCUAGUCUGCUCCUUCUCCUUCUCCUUCCUACUUCCUUCUCGAUCGAAGUAACAACAUAAACACCACCACUAGCAACAUUAAAGGUGUGCGUAAGGGUUAUGGUCGAAUCAACAUUCAGUACCUCUCUAGCUUCGCUAGUCACCGCACUAGAACUGAACUUCAGAUAGAAAAUAGAGGCAACAAUAGCAGCAAUUGGUAGCUGUUUAGGGGCAUGCAUCAGCAACAACAGAAAGGAUGCGGCUGUGCCGGGCAGUCCUAGGUGCAGUAGCAGCUUGCUGCAAGGAGCGGCUUGCACUCAGCUCCUUGAGCGACC